rnacentral:rRNA from 2 species
CCUGGCGGCACUAGCGCGGUGGUCCCACCUGACCCCAUGCCGAACUCAGAAGUGAAACGCCGUAGCGCCGAUGGUAGUGUGGGGUUUCCCCAUGCGAGAGUAGGGAACUACCAGGC